AACCUGGUUGAUCCUGCCAGUAGUCAUACGCUCGUCUCAAAGAUUAAGCCAUGCAUGUCUAAGUAUAAACGAUUUUGUACUGUGAAACUGCGAAUGGCUCAUUAUAUCUGUUAUAGUUUAUUUGAUAGUCCCUUACUACAUGGAUACCCGUAGUAAUUCUAGAGCUAAUACAUGCAUCGACUCCCAACUGCUUCGGCGGACGGGACGCAUUUAUUAGAUUGAAACCAAUGCGGGGGAGACCCCGGUAUCGUGGUGAGUCAUGAUAACUUUGCGAAUCGCAUGGCCUCGUGCCGGCGAUGGAUCAUUCAAGUUUCCGCCCUAUCAGCUUUGGA
rnacentral:rRNA from 1 species